AACAAGAUUACACUGGAUAUCAUUCCAGAUUAUACUCAGCGACAUCUGUAGUGAAAAAAAAUUUCAGAUAGUAGCUAGUAUAAUCGAGAUCAUACUGAGUGAUAACUGGAUUAUACUCACUUAUAAUCUGGAUUAUACUAGCUACUAUCUGAAAUUUCUUUUCGCUACAGAUGUCACUGAGUAUAAUCUGGAAGUUAUCCAGUGUAAUCUUGUGCUUUCCGUGUACA